UUUUGUGGGGUGCUCGAGUGGCGAACGGGUGAGUAACACGUGAGUAACCUGCCCUUGACUUUGGGAUAACUUCAGGAAACUGGGGCUAAUACCGGAUAGGAGCUCCUGCUGCAUGGUGGGGGUUGGAAAGUUCGGCGGUUGGGGAUGGACUCGCGGCUUAUCAGCUUGUUGGUGGGGUAGUGGCUUACCAAGGCUUUGACGGGUAGCCGGCCUGAGAGGGUGACCGGCCACAUUGGGACUGAGAUACGGCCCAG
rnacentral:rRNA from 1 species